AAUAGAUACCCAGGUAGUCCACGCCGUAAACGAUGGAUACUAGCUGUUGGGGGGCAACUUCAGUGGCUAAGCGAAAGUGAUAAGUAUCCCACCUGGGGAGUACGAACGCAAGUUUGAAACUCAAAGGAAUUGACGGGGGGCCCGCACAAGCGGUGGAGCAUGUGGUUUAAUUCGAUGAUACGCGAGGAACCUUACCAAGGCUUAAAUGCAGACUGACCGAUUUGGAAACAGAUCUUUCGCAAGACAGUUUACAAGGUGCUGCAUGGUUGUCGUCAGCUCGUGCCGUGAGGUGUCAGGUUAAGUCCUAUAACGAGCGCAACCCCUGUUGUUAGUUGCCAGCGAGUCAUGUCGGGAACUCUAACAAGACUGCCAGUGCAAACUGUGAGGAAGGUGGGGAUGACGUCAAAUCAUCACGGCCCUUACGCCUUGGGCUACACACGUGCUACAAUGCCGGUACAGAGAGCAGCCACCUCGCGAGGGGGAGCGAAUCUAUAAAGCCGGUCACAGUUCGGAUCGGAGUCUGC
rnacentral:rRNA from 1 species